GCAUCAAAGUCAACUAAAAGCUAAUAUCAGCAUAGGAAAGCAGUCCCCAUCACCCCAUCUGCCUCCAGAGAUACUCCAAUUGCAACGAAAGUAUGAUAUUAGCAUCAAAUAGUCAUGUCAAACAAUGCCAUUUAGAACUCAUGAAAUGGUAUAACAUCAUGUCCAGUAACCAGGGAAAAAGCCAAAGAGACAAGAUGAAUUGGAGAAUCAUAUUCAAGUGAUCUGGGUGCAAAGGAGACCAAUUCAUGAAAGACUCUGCAGUCUGCAGGGGUCUAUAGCCAAAUUGCAGCAGAGCACGAAUAUUAUGAUCAAGGCUUUGUUUAUCAUAUAAGAAAAAACAGAUCUCAAAAUAGCAUUAAUAGUAGACACUACACGUCAACACCUCCAUUCAUAUAAGCUCGUCUUUAGUAGUUAUAAUAGAACAAUCUGAAAAACUCACCAUUUCUCCAAUUUGCAGUUUGGAUCACAACUAUGAUUCAAGAAACAAGACGCAUUCCCCUUGAAAGUUGCGU